UACGUAGGGUGCAAGCGUUGUCCGGAAUUAUUGGGCGUAAAGAGCUCGUAGGCGGUCUGUCGCGUCUGCUGUGAAAACUCAGGGCUUAACCCUGAGCUUGCAGUGGGUACGGGCAGACUAGAGUGCGGUAGGGGGAGACUGGAAUUCCUGGUGUAGCGGUGAAAUGCGCAGAUAUCGGGGAGGAACACCGGUGGCGAAGGCGGUUCUCUGGGCCUUACCUGACGCUGAGGAGCGAAAGCGUGGGGAGCGAACAGG
rnacentral:rRNA from 1 species